rnacentral:rRNA from 1 species
UACGAAGGGUGCAAGCGUUACUCGGAAUUACUGGGCGUAAAGCGUGCGUAGGUAGUUGUUUAAGUCUGCUGUGAAAGCCCUGGGCUCAACCUGGGAAUUGCAGUGGAUACUGGGCGACUAGAGUGUGGUAGAGGAUAGUGGAAUUUCCGGUGUAGCAGUGAAAUGCGUAGAGAUCGGAAGGAACAUCUGUGGCGAAGGCGACUAUCUGGGCCAACACUGACGCUGAGGCGCGAAAGCUAGGGGAGCAAACGGG